rnacentral:rRNA from 1 species
CCCGCUGAACUUAAGCAUAUCAAUAAGCGGAGGAAAAGAAACCAACAGGGAUUGCCUCAGUAACGGCGAGUGAAGCGGCAACAGCUCAAAUUUGAAAUCUGGCUCUUUCAGGGUCCGAGUUGUAAUUUGUAGAGGAUGUUUCGGGUGUGGCUCCGGUCUAAGUUCCUUGGAACAGGACGUCAUAGAGGGUGAGAAUCCCGUAUGUGACUGGUAGCCUAUGCUCAUGUGAAACUCCUUCGACGAGUCGAGUUGUUUGGGAAUGCAGCUCAAAAUGGGUGGUAAAUUUCAUCUAAAGCUAAAUAUUGGCCAGAGACCGAUAGCGCACAAGUAGAGUGAUCGAAAGAUGAAAAGCACUUUGGAAAGAGAGUUAAACAGUACGUGAAAUUGUUGAAAGGGAAGCGCUUGCAACCAGACUUGCAUGUAGCUGAUCAACCGGUGUUCUCACCGGUGCACUCAGUUGCGUUCAGGCCAGCAUCGGUUUCGACGGUUGGAUAAAGGCCUUGGGAAUGUAGCUUCUUUCGGGGAGUGUUAUAGCCCAGGGUGCAAUGCAGCCUGUCGGGACCGAGGACCGCGCUUCGGCUAGGAUGCUGGCGUAAUGGUUGUAAGCGACCCGUCUUGAAACACGGACCAAGGAGUCUAACAUCUAUGCGAGUGUUUGGGUGUCAAACCCAUACGCGUAAUGAAAGUGAACGGAGGUGAGAACCCUUAAGGGUGCAUCAUCGACCGAUCCUGAUGUCUUCGGAUGGAUUUGAGUAAGAGCAUAGCUGUUGGGACCCGAAAGAUGGUGAACUAUGCCUGAAUAGGGUGAAGCCAGAGGAAACUCUGGUGGAGGCUCGCAGCGGUUCUGACGUGCAAAUCGAUCGUCAAAUUUGGGUAUAGGGGCGAAAGACUAAUCGAACCAUCUAGUAGCUGGUUCCUGCCGAAGUUUCCCUCAGGA